GGUCACUUUCAUUAACAUUGCAUUUCUUGCGCAAUAGAUACUGUAUAUAAUACAUUUGCUGGCUAAUCCGAGCAUAUAAUGAUGCCAUAGAUGGGGAACACAAAUAUAUAUGUAAAACUUUAAGUUGCAUAACUAUACCAACAUCUAGCAUGCAAAAAUGAUUGUUAUUAAUUUGCAUGUUAUAUUUGCAAUUACUGUUGGAUAAUCAAAUUGUAAUUCAUCUUGCCGAAUUGUUAUGGUAGUUUGGACUUCAUUUUAUGGACUCAUCUGCAGUUGGUUGCUGUGCAUAAGAAUGUCUUUUAUGCUUUUUUUCUAAUUCUUGCAGGCUGAAAGCGCAAUU
rnacentral:misc_RNA from 1 species